rnacentral:rRNA from 1 species
AUAAUACUCCAUAGAUUAGAGACACUGGAAUGUUCUUUAGUCGAAAGUUCUGGCGCCUUAGGAUGGAUCUGCGGUCGAUUAGGUUGUUGUUGGGGUAACGGCCCAACAAGCCUGUAAUCGAUACGGGUUGUGGGAGCAAGAGCCCGGAGAUGGAAUCUGAGACACGAUUCCAGGCCCUACGGGGCGCAGCAGGCGCGAAAACUUUACAAUGCAGGAAACUGUGAUAAGGGAACUCCGAGUGCCCGUAUACGCGGGCUGUCCAGGUGUUUAAAAAUCAUCUGAAGAAAGGGCCGGGCAAGACCGGUGCCAGCCGCCGCGGUAAUACCGGCGGCUCGAGUGGUGGCCACUAUUAUUGGGCUUAAAGCGUCCGUAGCUGGACCGAUAAGUCUCUUGGGAAAUCCGCCGGCUCAACCGGCGGGCGUCUAAGGGAUACUGUUAGUCUAGGGACCGGGAGAGGUGAGAGGUACUCCGGGGGUAGGAGUGAAAUCCUGUAAUCCCCGGGGGACCACCGAUGGCGAAGGCAUCUCACCAAAACGGCUCCGACAGUGAGGGACGAAAGCUGGGGGAACGAACCGGAUUAAAUACCCGGGUAUUCCCAGCCGUAAACUAUGCGCGUUAGGUGU